AUUGAACGCUGGCGGCAGGCCUAACACAUGCAAGUCGAACGAGUGGCGGACGGGUGAGUAAUGUCUGGGCAACUGCCCGAUGGAGGGGGCUAACUACUGGAAACGUUAGCUAAUACCGCAUACCAUCGGAUGUGCCCAGAGGGGAUUAGCGAGUCGGUGGGGUAACGGCUCACCUAGGCGACGAUCCCUAGCUGGUCGGCGAGGAUGACCGGCCACACUGGGACUGAGACACGGUCCAGACUCCUACGGGAGGCAGCAGUGGGGAAUAUUGCACAAUGGGCGAAAGUCUGAUGCAGCCAUGCCGCGUGUAUGAAGAAGGCUUUCGGAUUGUAAAGUACUGUCGGCGGGGAGGCGUUACCCGCAGAGGAAGCACCGGCUAACUCCGUGCCAGCCGCCGCGGUAAUAC
rnacentral:rRNA from 1 species